rnacentral:rRNA from 1 species
GUCCGCCGAGAGGCGUGCACUGACCGACGGCCCCUGUUGUCUCUCGGGUUGCCCGCCUGCUCUUAAUUGUGGUGGACGGGGAGUUCGGGACGUUUACUUUGAACAAAUUAGAGUGUUCCAAGCAGGCCGGUUGCUUUGAAUACAUUAGCAUGGAAUAAUGGAAUAGGACUGCGUGAUCCGUUGCCUUCGGGUGGCGGGUCCUUGUGUCCUAUUUUGUUGGUUUUCGGGACCGCAGUCAUGGUCAAGAGGGACAGUUGGGGGCAUUCGUAUUCAGUUGUCAGAGGUGAAAUUCUUGGAUUUACGGAAGACGAACAACUGCGAAAGCAUUUGCCAAGGAUGUUUUCAUUAAUCAAGAACGAAAGUUGGGGGUUCGAAGACGAUCAGAUACCGUCGUAGUCCCAACCAUAAACCAUGCCGGCUAGGGAUCGGCGGACGUCGGUAGCGACUCCGUCGGCACCUCUCGAGAAAUCCAAGCCUUGG